UCCUCAAGACAAGCAGUUUGCCCCUUCUUCUUUUCCCUGGUGGUGUGCCACGCCCAACAACCUUUCCAAUCUGCAGAGAGACCCGAGCCAGUGAGAACGGAGCACUUGAUGGAUUGACUGUUGAUUCGUUGCUUUCCUGAAUCACCAUUCCGGUUACCAGACAGCCCCCACGCCCACACCGACCUCUACUGAUCGGAGGAAACUUCCUCCCUCGCUUCAAGCGGAGCCACCUGCUACAGCAGACCUGCAGGAUGACAGAUCGAAAACAUGGAGAAAAGACUGGCCACCCGGGAGAGGCUUGGAACCACUGGACACAGAGCCAUGGUCAGUAAGACACAGCCACAGGCAGAAAGACGGGAAACUGCCGCCACUGAGUGCUUGGUGGACGGACUAGUCCCCAGAACACAAAACUCUUUUCUAAUUCGGAGGCCUGGUUGUCAGAGGUUUCCCACCCCUAUUACCUCUCUUGGGGUUCUGCUGACAUAUCACGUUGCAUCUCACCACCCCCGCCCCCAUAUCCAGCCAUUCCCCUCCGGCACUGUCCUGGUGGACUAGGGGCCAACACCCAGGCCACAGCUCCCUUUCCGGAUUGCGGCCCUAGGCUCCAAGCAGAUUCCCAUCUCCCGAUCUCUGAGCUCUUCCCCAAACGCCCCCCAGCUCACCGUUUCGCAGCAUCGAAAUGGGCUGCAGGCGGGACAUAUGUCUUGGAAAGCGGGCGGCGAGUGGGAGAAACGACGGAGGCGCCUCAGUACCCGCGACGGUCUCGGCCCUACGCCCUCAAGCACCCCGACUUUAUGGAAUCUCCCAGGU